GUGAGGAAUUUUCCGCAAUGGGCGAAAGCCUGACGGAGCAAUGCCGCGUGAAGGAUGAAGGCCUAUGGGUUGUAAACUUCUUUUCUUAGAGAAGAAUAUUGACGGUAUCUGAGGAAUAAGCAUCGGCUAACUCCGUGCCAGCAGCCGCGGUAAGACGGAGGGGGCAAGCGUUGUUCGGAAUUAUUGGGCGUAAAGGGCUCGUAGGCGGAUCUGUAAGUCUGGCGUGAAAUCUCCACCGCUUAACGGGGAGCUGCCGCUGGCUACUGCAGAUCUGGAGUUCGGUAGAGGAUCGUGGAAUUUCGGGUGUAGCGGUGGAAUGCGUAGAUAUCCGAAAGAACACCAGUGGCGAAGGCGACGAUCUGGGCCUGAACUGACGCUGAGGAGCGAAAGCUAGGGGAGCAAACGGGAUUAGAAACCCCGGUAGUCC
rnacentral:rRNA from 1 species